GAGAGUUUGGCCAACCCGGGUUUGGAGUCAGUGUCUAACAAGGCGCCCUCUAGUCACCUGAGGGGAUUUGACCAACUAUUACAUCUCAUGCUCUUCAUGACACCAAAGAACGCGACCACCAAAAGGGGAAUAAGCGGUAGAAAAUGGAUCGAUGGAAGGACUAAAGAAGCAUGGGUCGCAAGGGGUGCUGGAGCCUAUCUCAGCUACAUUCGGGCGAAAGGCGGGGUAUAAACUGGACAAGUCGCCACCUCAUCACAGAGCCAACACAGAUAGACAGACAACAUUCACACACUAGGGCCCAUUUAGUGUUGCCAAUCAACCCAUCCCCAGGUGCAUGUCUUCGGAGGUGGGAGGGGCCUAUCCCCAGGUGCAUGUCCUUGGAGGUGGGAGGGGCCUAUCCCCAGGUGCAUGUCUUUGGAGGUGGGAGGAAGCCAGAGUACCCGGAGGGAACCCACGCAGUCACGGGGAGAACAUGCAAACUCCACACAGAAAGAUCCGAACCCAGGACCUUGGCAUUAUGAGGCACACAUACCAGUGUUUCCAUAUAUAGGAUUGGUACCUAACAGAACUACACCUAGAAUUGGUUGUCUGUAUAAUAAAAGCAUUCUCAGGCCCCUGCAGUCUACAUAUAAACUUAAACAUCAGUUUUCUCAGGGUGGCGUGGAAGGUGUUUAUCCCUAAAUGACAAAAAAGCUUGCUGGCACUACUACCCCUGGCCUUUCUGAGCAGGAUUCUGAGACACUCAUUAUAUGCAACCUGGAGUUUGUGCAAGUUCUUUUUCUUGAACCUCACCCAGAGGGGUGCUGUGUACAUAGGGGUGCAGUAAGCUCUAAACAAGUACACCUUUGCCUUAUCAGAGCAGUAAUGACAUUUUCUCACCAGCAUAUUGGCUUUCUUCUCGGUCUAAGCAUGUCAGCAUCAUCCUCCAUCUUGUCAUUGAUGAUGCGGCCUAAGUAUUUGACAUUGUUGCACACAGACAGGGUUUGACCAGACAAAUAGAAACCUGGGAAAUGAGGAUGUUGAUCCUCCUUGGUCCUACAUAUCAUUACCAUACUCUUUGUGGCUGACUCCAAAGUGUGAGCAUAUGUUAAGAAGCUGCUGGAAGCCUGCACUACUGGGAGAUAUAAUGGCCAAAUCAUCAGCGUACAUCAAGUGGUUGAUGAAGGUGUUCCCCAUCAUGCAUCCUGUUCUGCCUGGUGAUAGAAGCCCACCCUGCCGUACCCCAUUGCCAACUCUAAAGAGAGAGGAUAAACUACUCCCCCAUUUGACCUGCAUGGUCUGCCUGUGGUAGCAAUAUGCCAGAAUAUACCCACAACACCCCUGUGCUUCAGAUUGCUGAAGAGUUGGAGAUGGUUGACUCUGUCAAAUGCCUUAGAUGCGUCAAUAAACCCCACCGACAUUGUAGAA